ensembl:lncRNA
AGGUGUCUGCCAUCAGAUCCCUCAUUACGGACUGCAUGCUGAUGGACUUCCAUGGGCCUGCUACCUGAGACCUGCUGCUUCCUCCCGGACUCACUCUGCGGCUUCUUCCUGGACCCACCCAGUACCUGCACCCUCUUGUUGCCCAAAACCGGCCUCGCUGCUCCUGCCCUUUGGCCUUGGACCAUAGGAACGGCGUGCAACGGACCGCUGCUGGAUCUUGACAGCCUGCUGCACGACAGGAUCUCCCAUUGUGUAGGGAUGCCUCUCAAGGUUACAUGUGAGCAGAGAUCACUUGCACCUCGAUGUCAAGAGAUACCUGGCCAAUAGAGAUCCUCAAUGUACAGACUGGGAGAAGAACUCCUUGUGAGCAGCCCUGUGCAGAAGGACUUGGGGAUUUUGGUGGACAAAAAGAUUGACACAAACCAACAGUGUGUGCCUGCAGCCCAGGAGAGCAACUGUGACCUUUGCUGCAUCCAAAGAACAGUUGGCCAUCAGGGCAAGGAAGGUGAAUGUCCCUCUCUACUCUGCCCUCAUGAAGUCCCACCUGGAAUAUUGUGUCCAGGACUGAGGCCUCCAGCACAAGAAAUACGUGAAGCUGUUGGGGUGGAUCCAGAGGAGGGCCAUGAAGAUGAUCAAAGGGUGGGAGCACCUUUACUAUGAAGAAAGGUUGAGGGAACUGGACUUGUUCACCCUGCAGAAGCAAUUCUCCAGGGAGAUCUCACUUUGGUCUUUCAGUACUAAAAAAAAGCUUAUAAAAAAAGAGUGAUAUCCUCUUUUUACAUUUUCUCAUAGUGGUAAGACAAGAGGGAAUGAUUUUAAAGUAAAAGUAAUGUAAAAGACGGGAGAUUUUGGUUAAAUAUUAGGAAGACAUUCCUAGUGGAAGAGUGGCAAGGCACCAGAACAAGAAGCUGAGGGUGCCCCAUCCACGAAGGCAUUCAAGGCCAGGUUGGAUGGGGCCCUGAGCAGCCUACUUGGGUUUGUGGUGACCCUGCCUAUGGAAGGGUCUGGUACUAGAUGACCUUUAAUGUCCCUUCCAACCCAAGACAUUUUAUGAGUCUAUGACUGUGAUAUUAAACACUUCUAAAACUUCUGUUAUAUGGCAGUUACUCUGAAAGUUAUGCCUCCUACUUAUUUCCAUGGAAACUACAACAGAUACAAAGAGCACAGUAACACUGUUGGAUGGAUAAAAUUCUCAGCUACAGAACACUGUUUUUCAACAGUAACCACCAAGAGCCUGCAUUCUGUGCUUGAAACAAUCUUCACCAACUGAGGUGACCCACUAUCACUGUCACCAGAGCUAAAACUCAUGCCCACCACCUCCCUGUGCUCACAUUCACUGUUUUGUUUCCAUAAACAUUCAGGAAACAUCAAUGAAUGUCAAUGGCUGCCAUUUUUUUUCUGCAUGGAGGAAUUCAGUGACACACCUUUGCUUCAUAUGCACUUCUAUGUCAGAUGCCUUUUUGUCAGUGUGGUCUUUUGUUGCCAUCUGUCACACAGCAAUAAAAUGUAAUUGAAUAUUGGUGGGAAGGUUCAAACUCUAUUGACGUACCACCAAUAUUUACCUCUGACAUUGUGGGCAAACAUAAUAAUACAGGGGGCAUUACUUUUGGAAUUGUCCUUGUACAUUCUAUUAUCCAAAAUAAUACUACUAUUGGGAAAAACUUCUGCUUGACAUUUUGUGUUUUGACUGGCAUUUGUUAGCUGCCAGCUGUCAUAAGAAAGACUGCAACACAUGCCGUUAGCAGCAUAUGCCUUUUUGGGCACAGAAUAGCAUUUUCAUACAAAAAUAAAUAAAUAAAUAAAUAAAAAUCAAAUGAUCCAUAACAUAUUAUGCUGUCAUUUAAAAAAUGCAUCAGAACUGUAACAUUUUUCAUGUUUAUAAUACAUGUUAUUCCCCAAGGCUCAGUCUACUAAAUUCUCACUACAUUCGGGGACAUAAUGAGGAAAGCAUUUAUUCUAUUAAUUGGCAUUAUAUUUUUUUCAGUAUGUUAAUGAUUUUUUUUCAGAAAGGCGAUUCUGUUCUUCUCAAAACAAUUGCAAUGUUUCAUAUUUGUGCUUUGCUAUUUUCUGCUUUGUCAGAUCAAUCUAUUUUUCCUUACCAUACCAUCUUCUCCAUUGUUCACCACUCUUAAACACUUCUUUCUUCGUAAUAAAACAUGGGAGAGAUUUCAGGAAUGUAUGGGUAAAUGCAAUAGCUGUUUCUGUUUUUUGUUACAAAAAUCCAGAAUUCUACUAAUUAUAUUUACUUUUAACAUUAUUUUGAUAAGUAAAAAAGUCACCUUCAAAGAAACCAAAACCUAUUCACUUCCCGAAUGGUGAAAUUAUAAUUACUGAUUCUUACAUCCAUACAGUGCUGUCUGGGUUCCUUCUUUAUAUUUUUGGAUUCUGAUACGUGUAAACAAAGUCAAGAAGCUACCCUGAUUUCCCUAAGCAGUCAAAAGGGAAAAAUACAUAUUCUUUUUGUGACUGAUUCAAUCCACUUUUAAAGAUUUUAAAAUUGUGAUGCUACUAGGAACAGAUUUAAAUCAGGAAGUUUCAUUUAUUCUUGAAUACUUCAGAGUAAUAAGUCAUUUUCUAAGAAAUAUGCUAUUGCUAUAAUGAUUACUGGAAAAAAAAUCACUGAAAUUUUCCAAAAAUCACACGAAUUAUCCGUUUUCUCUCUUGAAUUUACUUAAAUAAAAAUAAGUAAACAAAUAAAUAAAACCUAUAUAUUCUUUUAUCUUCUGUUUUAUCCGUGUUCGUUAUCCUUUGAUGUUAAAAAAGUCCAAUAGUAUUCCACAGAAGCUUUAGUUAUUUAGUAUAAUUGUACAUUACAAUUGCAAUUGGUGCAUGUGGCCACUUUGUUCUUAAUCUUUGCUGUGUUGAUGUUAUCAAUUGCAGAAAGUUAUUCUCAGGUGCAUAGCUGAUAUUGUUCAGAAGUUUUGGUACUUGUGUUUAUCCUAGAUUAUUUGUAUUUCACAUAAGUGAAAUUCUUUAUCACUAUAGAUGCUUGUGUUUUAAUUUUUUUUUCAAGGUAGACAUAAGGAUUAUUAUAUGAAAAUAGCAGCAUUCCUUUUAUUUAGUAAAAUAAACUUGUCUUUGAAGUAGUGUUCACUAAU